rnacentral:misc_RNA from 1 species
CCGAGUUAUACAACUCAUCAACCCUGUGAACAUACCUAAAACGUUGCUUCGGCGGGAACAGACGGCCCUGUAACAACGGGCCGCCCCCGCCAGAGGACCCCUAACUCUGUUUUUAUAAUGUUUUUUCUGAGGUAGUAGUAAACAAGCAAAUAAAAUUA